rnacentral:rRNA from 1 species
UACAGAGGUCUCAAGCGUUGUUCGGAUUCAUUGGGCGUAAAGGGUGCGUAGGCGGCGCGGUAAGUCGGGUGUGAAAUCUCGGAGCUUAACUCCGAAACUGCAUUCGAUACUGCCGUGCUUGAGGACUGGAGAGGAGACUGGAAUUUACGGUGUAGCGGUGAAAUGCGUAGAUAUCGUAAGGAACACCCAGGGGGAAACCAGUCGACUGGGCAUCUACUGACGCUGAGGUGCGAGAGCGUGGGGAGCGAACCGG